rnacentral:rRNA from 1 species
GACGGAGGAUGCAAGCGUUAUCCGGAAUCACUGGGCGUAAAGCGUCUGUAGGUGGUCAAAUAAGUCAACUGUUAAAUCUUGAGGCUCAACCUCAAAAUCGCAGUCGAAACUAUUCGACUAGAGUAUAGUAGGGGUAAAGGGAAUUUCCAGUGGAGCGGUGAAAUGCGUAGAGAUUGGAAAGAACACCGAUGGCGAAGGCACUUUACUGGGCUAUUACUAACACUCAGAGACGAAAGCUAGGGUAGCAAAUGGG